rnacentral:rRNA from 1 species
CCUACGGGAGGCAGCAGUGAGGAAUAUUGGUCAAUGGGCGAGAGCCUGAACCAGCCAAGUCGCGUGAGGGAGUACUGCCCUAUGGGUUGUAAACCUCUUUUGUCGGGGAGCAAAAGCCGGACGUGUCCGGCUGUGAGAGUACCCGAAGAAAAAGCAUCGGCUAACUACGUGCCAGCAGCCGCGGUAAUACGGAGGAUGCGAGCGUUAUCCGGAUUUAUUGGGUUUAAAGGGUGCGCAGGCGGAUUUUUAAGUCAGCGGUAAAAUCGGGGGGCUCAACCCCAUCCAGCCGUUGAAACUGGGGAUCUAGAGUGUGCGAGAGGUAUGCGGAAUGCGUGGUGUAGCGGUGAAAUGCAUAGAUAUCACGCAGAACCCCGAUUGCGAAGGCAGCAUACCGGUGCACAACUGACGCUCAGGCACGAAAGCGUGGGUAUCGAACAGGAUUAGAUACCCCAGUAGUC